rnacentral:rRNA from 1 species
AUGCCCUUGGUUGGGUGUCCGGGCCUCAGGGGUCCGGAGCGUUUACUUUGAAAAAAUCAGAGUGUUCAAAGGCGGGCCACCAAACCUCGCCUUGAUUGCCUGAGCUAGGAAUUAAUGAAUAGGACUCCGGUUCUUUUUUUGGGUUUCCCUGAACCAGGGCCAAGAUUAAGAGGGACGGCCGGGGAUUCGUAUUGCGCCGCUAGAGGUGAAAUUUUGGACCGGCGCAAGACCGAACAAAAGCGAAAGGCAUUUGCCAAGAAUUUUUUAUUAAUUCAAGAAGAAAGGUCGGAGGUUCGAAGACGAUCAGAUACCGUCGUUGUUCCGACCGUAAACUAUGCCGACCCGCGAUCCGGCGGCGUUAUUUCCAUGACCCGCCGGGCAGCGUGCGGGGAAACCAGAGUCUUUUGGUUCCGGGGGGAGUAUGGUUGCAAAACGAAACUUAAAGGAAUUGACGGAAGGGCACCACCAGGAGUGGAGCCUGCGGCUUUUUUGACUCAACACGGGGAACCUCACCCGGCCCGGACACGGAAAGGAUUGACAGACUGAUGGCUCUUUCUCGAUUCUGUGGGUGGUGGUGCAUGGCCGUUCUUAGUUGGUGGAGUGAUUUGUCUGGUUAAUUCCGAUAACGAACGAGAUUCCUUCGUGCUAAAUAGUUACGCGGCCCCCCGCGGUCGCGGUUAACUUCUUAGAGGGACCCAGUUGGUGGUGCAUGGCCGUUCUUAGUUGGUGGAGUGAUUUGUCUGGUUAAUUCCGAUAACGAACGAUAUUCCUUCGUGCUAAAUAGUUACGCGGCCCCCCGCGGUCGCGGUUAACUUCUUAGAGGGACCAGGGGCGUAUAGCCACGCGAGAUGGAGCAAUAACAGGUCUGUGAUGCCCUUAGAUGUCCGGGGCUGCACGCGCGCCACAAUGGCCGGGCCAGCGUGUGCCUACCCUACGCCGAGAGGCGCGGGGAAUCCGCUUAAACCCGUUCUUGACGGGGAUUGGGGAUUGCAAUAUUUCCCCAUGAACGAGGAAUUCCCAGUAAGUGCGGGUCAUCAGCUCGCGCUGAUUAAGUCCCUGCCCUUUGUACACACCGCCCGUCGCUACUACCGAUUGGAUGGUUAUGUGAGGUCCUCGGAUCGGCCGCGCCGGGGCUCCUUCGCGGGGCCUUGGUGCUGUGCUGAAAAGUCGAUCGAACUUGAUCAUCUAGAGGAAGUAAAAGUCGUAACAAGGUUUCCGUAGGUGAACCUGCGGAAG